rnacentral:rRNA from 1 species
AACGAACGCUGGCGGCAUGCCUAACACAUGCAAGUCGAACGAGACCUUCGGGUCUAGUGGCGCACGGGUGCGUAACGCGUGGGAACCUGCCCUUAGGUUCGGAAUAACUCCCCGAAAGGGGUGCUAAUACCGGAUAAUGUCUUCGGACCAAAGAUUUAUCGCCUUUGGAUGGGCCUGCGUUGGAUUAGCUAGUUGGUAGGGUAAAAGCCUACCAAGGCGACGAUCCAUAGCUGGUCUGAGAGGAUGAUCAGCCACACUGGGACUGAGACACGGCCCAGAAUCCUACGGGAGGCAGCAGUGGGGAAUAUUGGACAAUGGGCGAAAGCCUGAUCCAGCAAUGCCGCGUGAGUGAUGAAGGCCUUAGGGUUGUAAAGCUCUUUUACACGGGAUGAUAAUGACAGUACCGGGAGAAUAAGCUCCGGCUAACUCCGUG